UCAAGCUACUAAGGGCACAUGGUGGAUGCCUUGGCGCAGGCAGCCGAUGAAGGACGUGGCAAGCUGCGAUAAGCCGCGGGGAGCUGCAAGCAAGCUUUGAUCCGCGGAUGUCCGAAUAGGGCAACCUGUUAUGCUGAUCGCAUAACAUUCUCUCCUGAGUAAAGUAGGGAGAGCAAAGGCAACCCGGGGAAGUGAACCAUCUCAGUACCCGGAGGAAGAGAAAGCAAAUGCGAUUCCCAAAGUAGCGGCGAGCGAAAUGGGAACAGCCUAAACCGGCGGGAUGCAAAUCACGCCGGGGUUGUGGGGCCGGGCGCAUAGGAGUUACAAAUCAAUUCGUUAGUCGAAGGCUUUUGGAAAAGGCCGCCGUAGCGGGUGAUAGCCCCGUAGACGAAAACGAAUUGACUCCUGCCUGGUUCCCGAGUACCGCGGGGCACGAGAAACCCUGCGGGAAUCCGGGGGGACCACCCUCCAAGGCUAAAUACUCGCCUGCGACCGAUAGUGAACCAGUACCGUGAGGGAAAGGUGAAAAGAACCCCUGCUAGGGGAGUGAAAUAGUACCUGAAACCGUGUGCCUACAAGCAGUGGAAGUCCCGCUUCGGCGGGAUGACCGCGUGCCUUUUGCAUAAUGAGCCGGCUAGUUAAUCUAUGCAGCAAGGUUAAGCGAUAAGCGAGCCGUAGCGAAAGCGAGUCUGAAUAGGGCGAUUAGUUGCAUGGAUUAGACGUGAAGCCGAGUGAUCUAUCCUUGGCCAGGGUGAAAUCCGGGUAACACCGGAUGGAGGCCCGAACCAUUGUCGGUUGAAAACGGCUUGGAUGAGCUGAGGAUAGGGGUGAAAGGCCAAUCAAACUCGGGAAUAGCUCGUUCUCCCCGAAAUAGCUUUAGGGCUAGCCUCGGAAGAUCAAUCCCGGUGGUAGAGCACUGAAUGGACUAGGGGCCCAACAAGGUUACCGAAUCCAAUCAAACUCCGAAUGCCGGACAUUGCAUUCCGGGAGUCAGACUGCGAGUGCUAAGAUCCGUAGUCAAAAGGGAAACAGCCCAGAUCACCAGCUAAGGUCCCCAAAUACAAGCUAAGUGGGAAAGGAUGUGGAGACGCUCAGACAACCAGGAGGUUGGCUUAGAAGCAGCCACCCUUCAAAGAAAGCGUAAUAGCUCACUGGUCAAGCGGCUCUGUGCCAACAAUACAACGGGGCUCAAGCUUGUUACCGAAGCUGUGGAUUGCCGCGCAAGCGGCAGUGGUAGGGGAGCAUUCCAAUCGGAGCGAAGUCAGACUGUGAGGUCUGGUGGACCGUUUGGAAGAGACUCUGCCGGCACGAGUAGCGAUAAAGUCCGUGAGAGGCGGACUCGCCGUAAGUCUAAGGGUUCCUUGGGAAGGUUAAUCCGCCAAGGGUUAGUCGGUUCCUAAGCCGAGGCCGAGAGGCGUAGGCGAUGGGAAACAGGUUAAUAUUCCUGUACCACCCGGAAGACGUUAUUACCGAUGGGGUGACGCAGAAGGAUAGACCAAGCCAGGUGAUGGAUGUCCUGGUCCAAGCCUGUAGGAGGGUCUGCUAGGCAAAUCCGGCAGACCAUUACUCUGAGGGGUGAUGGGGUGGCCGCAAGGCCGGAACCGGUCGAUUCCAUGCUGCCAAGAAAAACCUCUAGGGAGACUUCCGGAUGACCGUACCGCAAACCGACACAGGUAGACGAGUAGAAUAUACUCAGGCGCUUGAGAGAACUCUCACUCAGGAACUAGGCAAUCUAACUCCGUAACUUCGGGAGAAGGAGUGCCCACAUUAGAUGGCGGGGUUCGCCCCCUAAGUUGAAGUGGGUCGCAGAGAAAUGGCCCAGGCGACUGUUUACUAAAAACACAGGACUCUGCUAAGUCGAAAACGACGUAUAGGGUCUGACGCCUGCCCGGUGCCGGAAGGUUAAAGGGAGGUGUUAUUCCGCCUUGUGCGGGAGAAGCUCCGAACUGAAGCCCCGGUAAACGGCGGCCGUAACUAUAACGGUCCUAAGGUAGCGAAAUUCCUUGUCGGGUAAGUUCCGACCUGCACGAAUGGCGUAACGAUCUGGGCGCUGUCUUGGUGAGAGGCUCAGUGAAACUGAAAUACCGGUGAAGAUGCCGGUUACCCGCAGCUAGACAGAAAGACCCCGUGCACCUUUACUACACCUUGGCAAUGGAUUUUGGUGCGUUAUGUGCAGCAUAGGUGGGAGGCUUUGAACUGUGGGCGUCAGCCUGCAGGGAGCCAACAGUGAGAUACCACCCUUAACGUUCUGACAUUCUAACCUAGGGUCGUCAUCCGGCCCAGGGACAUUGCCAGGCGGGUAGUUUGACUGGGGCGGUCGCCUCCCAAAUUGUAACGGAGGCGUUCUAAGGUGUGCUCAGGCUGUUUGGAAAUCAGCCGUAGAGUGUAAAGGCACAAGCACGCUUGACUGCGAGACAGACAAGUCAAGCAGGUGGGAAACCAGGACUUAGUGAUCCGGUGGUUCCGCGUGGAAGGGCCAUCGCUCAACGGAUAAAAGGUACGCCGGGGAUAACAGGCUGAUCUUGCCCAAGAGUCCACAUCGACGGCAAGGUUUGGCACCUCGAUGUCGGCUCGUCGCAUCCUGGGGCUGGAGAAGGUCCCAAGGGUUGGGCUGUUCGCCCAUUAAAGCGGCACGUGAGCUGGGUUUAGAACGUCGCGAGACAGUUCGGUCCUUAUCUGCUGUGGGCGUAGGAAAUUUGAGGGGAGCUGUCCUUAGUACGAAAGGACCGGGAUGGACGAACCUCUAGUGUACCAGUUGUCCCGCCAGGGGCAUGGCUGGGUAGCUAGGUUCGGAUGGGAUAAACGCUGAAGGCAUCUAAGUGUGAAGCCCACCCCAAGACAAGAUUUCCCUGCCGUAAGGCACUAAAGGCCCCUGAUAGACCAUCAGGUUGAUAGGCUGGGAGUGGAAGCGUGGCAACACGUGGAGCUUACCAGUACUAAUCGGUCCGUGUGGCUUGACCAU
rnacentral:rRNA from 1 species